UUACAGUUCAUUAGAUUUUCACACCGCCUCACAACACAACGUGUGGUAAGAUGUAUCGAGAAGGUGACAUACAGGUACGGUACAAGAGGCGUGAGCAGGGCCAACGAACAUGAAGAUCCGCAGGCUGCGAAAAUAACAGGAGUGAAGCUUCCGCGGUCUCCUUACCCGGGCACAUCUCACGCGCCCAAGCACAAUCGCUGUCUAACCGUGACAUCUGCAGGCCGUUACAGAGCUAAAGCUCCAGGAUGGUGCAAACAGAAGGGCGACAAGGCAGGAGAGAGAAAGAGAAAAUGAGCUGACUGAGAACGCAGAAAUACUAAGGUGUUGGAUUCAAGGUAAAGUAAUCGGACGCAGUGGAAAAUAUUCUAAAUUUGACAUCGUAGGAUUGAGGUGUACAUUUUCCAUGUGCCCUCUAUCGAUUCAGUAAACAUAAAUCGCUCGGUUUUCUUGUGAACGUGCUGCUUAAUUUGAAAAGCAUCAUCAUCUGUGAAAUGCGAUCACAUCUCACAGUAUCAUUGAAGGCUGAAGAUUGGAUAUUCAAAAAAAGUUGUUCUCUAAUAAAUACGAGGUGAUAAAAAUGACAGCAAACUACCGCUUAUAAUGACUCCCUUCUGCAUAUGAGGAAAGUGGUACUUGCGGAGCUCAAGUGACUUGCCGAUGGCCUGUGGCUAUUAAGUGGAGCUGCUGGGAUUUGAAACCAUUUAAGCGGGGCUCGCUCUAAAAGCGGCAGCAUCCAACGGGCCAGGCGGGAUGGUGAGGGGAUGAAAGGCUUGGAGGGCCGGGCAGGGGAGCUGGGGUCUGGGCAUCCAGGCCCACAGCCUUCGUGGGGUGCGGGAGAGAACGCGCAGGUCAGCGCCGAGGGCAAACUCAGCCCCGAACCUUGGGGGUCAAGGUCACGGACACAGGGAGCCAAGCUCAGAAGGACACACGAAAGUCACGCAGGUCACAGGAAGAAAGCAAACCCAGGCACACAAACCGCUUCGCGCUCUGGGUGGGUGGGGACGGAGCGCCUGUGUUCUCUGGCUGCAGACAUUGAAGAUAGGUUCCGUCUGCGCGCCCCUGGCGCGGCGGGAGAACCGGAGACGCCCGACCCCAGCGUCCCGGCAGUCCUGGCACUGCCCCGCCGGCCGCGUUUUCUCCAGGACCGAUGCUCCUCGAGUUUGACCGAUGUUAGGGAUUCGCCUCCCCUCUCUCUUUGUUCUCGGAUACUAGAAACACAAAGGACAGGAGGCAAACCCUGGUCUCCCAGCUGCAGGACAAGGGAUCUGGACUAGGAGCCUGUUUGCAGAUUUCGUCGGUGGUUGGGAUGGCUACAGAAUCAUUUCUUCAGAAAAACUACUGCGUGAACAGGCUUGUGGUUUUUAAGUCAUUUAGAAUCAGUUCAAACACUUAAGCCAUGUGGUAGCGUGGCCGAGCGGUCUAAGGCGCUGGAUUAAGGCUCCAGUCUCUUCGGAGGCGUGGGUUCGAAUCCCACCGCUGCCAGGCUUAUUCUUUAACUUCCUUUAACUUAUUCUUUAUCUUCCUAGAUAAAAGGGAGACAUGGCAGCUGGCAAGCGAGAGUCAGUUACACAGGAAUGGCUUCGAAACCCACCUGGCAAUAGAGCCUGCCUGGCAACAGGCUGUGAUUGGCUAGGCCAUAAACCGCCUCUUGACUGGAUUGGCUGCCCCAGCUAUUUAAGCUGCUGUACCAAUUGAAAGAGUCUGCAGGCUCUCACCUCUGGCCUGAUUUCACCCGACUCACGGGGGUCUGUGUGGUGACUCCACGCCUCUAGCCCCCACGGCGCUCCUCCUCUCAGAAUGAAUCAACCUCAACAUCUGGCGCCCAACGUGACUGAGAGAGAGACAGCGUGACAGACUUGGCGAUUUCAGCAAAGAAUGUGGAACACACUAUUUGGGUACCAGCCAGAAACAUCAAGCCUGCAACUGACAGCCAACCAGAACCAGCUGAGUCUGAGAGUCUGCCUUGUUAGCGGAUGCACCUGCUACCGAUUGUCAAAAUGCUGCUCUAUCAUCCUGCCCUGAGAAACUGCCCAUAGCCACAUCCGUUACUGCUUUAUACCCCACAUAGCUCUGGUCAGCCACUCAUUUGGCCCACAGCCUGUGUGCUAUCAUGCCAUUCCUGAUUACCACUGUUCCUCAUUCCUACCCCCAUCUGAGCAAGCACUCCUGUGGUCUCCUGUGUUGAGGGCUGGUUAGUCAACGACAGGUAAGAUCCCCUGGGGGACAACCUAAAACAGGCACAGCCACGUAUGGAGACCACAUGGAAAUGGAGUCAACAAUGGUAUGGCCAAGGAUCAUGCCUCCCGUUGCUCAAAAAUAAAUGAAAAGUUCAAGGUCACUAGCAAUCAGGGAAAUGCAAAUCAAAAGCACAAUGAGGUUUCACCUCACCCCGGUUAGAAUGGCUCACAUACAGAAAUCUACCAACAACAGAUGCUGGCGAGGAUGUGGGGAAAAAGGGACACUAACCCACUGUUGGUGGGAAUGCAAACUGGUCAAGCCACUAUGGAAAUCAGUCUGGAGAUUCCUCAGAAACCUGAAGAUAACCCUACCGUUCGACCCAGCCAUCCCACUCCUUGGAAUUUACCCAAAGGAGUUUAAAUUGAUAAACAAAAAAGCGGUCUGCACCCUAAUGUUUAUUGCAGCACAAUUCACAAUAGCCAAGACCUGGAACCAACCUAAAUGCCCAUCAACGGUAGACUGGAUAAAGAAAUUAUGGGAUAUGUAUUCUUUAGAGUACUAUACCGCAGUAAGAAACAACGAAAUCCAGUCAUUUGCAACAAAAUGGAGGAAUCUGGAACACAUCAUGCUGAGUGAAGUAAGCCAGUCCCAAAGGGACAAAUACCAUAUGUUCUCCCUGAUCGGUGACAACUGACUGAACACCAAAGGGGAAACCUCCUGAAGUGAAGUGGACACUAUGAGAAAUGGUGACUUGAUCAGCAUAGCCCUGACUGCUGAUGGACAACUUAAUACAUUAUCCCUCAUAGUA